rnacentral:rRNA from 1 species
ACUCAAAGGAAUAGACGGGGGCCCGCACAAGCGGUGGAGCAUGUGGUUUAAUUCGACGCAACGCGAAGAACCUUACCCAGGCUUGAACUGCAGAUGACAUCCUACGAAAGUAGGCUCCCGCAAGGGCAUCUGUAGAGGUGCUGCAUGGCUGUCGUCAGCUCGUGUCGUGAGAUGUUGGGUUAAGUCCCGCAACGAGCGCAACCCUUGUCUUCUGUUGCCAUCAGGUUAAGCUGGGCACUCUGAAGAGACUGCCGGUGACAAACCGGAGGAAGGUGGGGAUGACGUCAAGUCAGCAUGGCCUUUAUGUCUGGGGCCACACACGUGCUACAAUGGCCGACACAAACCGUUGCGAGCCCGCGAGGGGGAGCUAAUCGGACAAAGUCGGUCUCAGUUCGGAUUGUAGGCUGCAACUCGCCUGCAUGAAGUUGGAAUCGCUAGUAAUCGCGGAUCAGCACGCCGCGGUGAAUACGUUCCCGGGCCUUGCACACACCGCCCGU